AUGAGCGGCCGCGCUAGCCGACAGAAACAAUCAUCGCUGACUCGCUGUCUGUCUUCAGUAGCUGCCUCUCUUAAAAAAAAAACCCCAAUUAAUCCCCUUGCACGCAUCUGGCGAAACGUGCCGCCCAGGAGCUUCACGAGCGGCCGCCCGGCGCUCCUCCACUGACCAGCCGUCUCGCCGGCGACCAGGAGCCGUGUCACGCCGGUCCCCUACUGCCUCCCUUCUCUCUCCUUCCCAACUCUCUCUCUCUCUCUCUCUCUCUCUCUCUCUCUCUCUCUCUCUAUUCCACACAGGUCGCGGCCAUGGAUGAUCCCCGCUCGGGUCAAGCUUGCCCUGGCCGACCGCCGCCACGCUGGGCCUCCUCUCCAUCUGCAUCGACGCCAGUGCGCCUCCGCCGCCACCCCUCCCUAUCUUCCCCAUCGCCGCUGGAUUUGAGAUCCACACAUCCUCCUUCCUCUCGUUCGUCCAAGGAGAUGGUAAGCAGGAGCACGCGAAUGUGGUGAUUGAGAAUAUUGCCAAGAAGCUAAUCCACGACAUGCACCAUGAAUUCCGGCAAAAAAAAACACAUGCACUAUGAGGAGAGCGUCCGGUUAGUGGUCAAGUAUAAUGCGGACUAUCUCAAUAUCAAGAUUUCAAAAAAGGAUGCUCGAGAAAAGCAUCUUCCAUGGGAAAAUUACUUCAAG